ACGCUGGCGGCGUGCCUAAUACAUGCAAGUAGAACGCUGAAGCUUGGUGCUUGCACCGAGCGGAUGAGUUGCGAACGGGUGAGUAACGCGUAGGUAACCUGCCUCUUAGCGGGGGAUAACUAUUGGAAACGAUAGCUAAUACCGCAUAAAAGACGAAUAUCGCAUGAUAUUGAUUUGAAAGGUGCAAAUGCAUCACUAAAAGAUGGACCUGCGUUGUAUUAGCUAGUUGGUGAAGUAACGGCUCACCAAGGCGACAAUACAUAGCCGACCUGAGAGGGUGAUCGGCCACACUGGGACUGAAACACGGCCCAAACUCCUACGGGAGGCAGCAGUAGGGAAUCUUCGGCAAUGGGGGCAACCCUGACCGAGCAACGCCGCGUGAGUGAAAAAGGUUUUCGGAUCGUAAAGCUCUGUUGUAAGAAAAAAACGAGUGUGAGAGUGGAAAGUUCACACUGUGACGGUAACUUACCAGAAAGGGACGGCUAACUACGUGCCAGCAGCCGCGGUAAUACGUAGGUCCCGAGCGUUAUCCGGAUUUAUUGGGCGUAAAGCGAGCGCAGGCGGUUAGAUAAGUCUGAAGUUAAAGGCUGUGGCUUAACCAUAGUACGCUUUGAAAACUGUUUAACUUGAGUGCAGAAGGGGAGAGUGGAAUUCCAUGUGUAGCGGUGAAAUGCGUAGAUAUAUGGAGGAACACCGGUGGCGAAAGCGGCUCUCUGGUCUGUAACUGACGCUGAGGCUCGAAAGCGUGGGGAGCGAACAGGAUUAGAUACCCUGGUAGUCCACGCCGUAAACGAUGAGUGCUAGGUGUUGGGUCCUUUCCGGGACUCAGUGCCGCAGCUAACGCAUUAAGCACUCCGCCUGGGGAGUACGACCGCAAGGUUGAAACUCAAAGGAAUUGACGGGGGCCCGC
rnacentral:rRNA from 1 species